CAGAUGCAAGUCGAGCGGCGAGCACUGGUACUUGUACCUGGUGGCGAGCGGCGGACGGGUGAGUAAUGCCUAGGAAUCUGCCUGGUAGUGGGGGAUAACGCUCGGAAACGGACGCUAAUACCGCAUACGUCCUACGGGAGAAAGCAGGGGACCUUCGGGCCUUGCGCUAUCAGAUGAGCCUAGGUCGGAUUAGCUAGUUGGUGAGGUAAUGGCUCACCAAGGCGACGAUCCGUAACUGGUCUGAGAGGAUGAUCAGUCACACUGGAACUGAGACACGGUCCAGACUCCUACGGGAGGCAGCAGUGGGGAAUAUUGGACAAUGGGCGAAAGCCUGAUCCAGCCAUGCCGCGUGUGUGAAGAAGGUCUUCGGAUUGUAAAGCACUUUAAGUUGGGAGGAAGGGCAUUUACCUAAUACGUAAGUGUUUUGACGUUACCGACAGAAUAAGCACCGGCUAACUCUGUGCCAGCAGCCGCGGUAAUACAGAGGGUGCAAGCGUUAAUCGGAAUUACUGGGCGUAAAGCGCGCGUAGGUGGUUUGUUAAGUUGAAUGUGAAAUCCCCGGGCUCAACCUGGGAACUGCAUCCAAAACUGGCAAGCUAGAGUAUGGUAGAGGGUGGUGGAAUUUCCUGUGUAGCGGUGAAAUGCGUAGAUAUAGGAAGGAACACCAGUGGCGAAGGCGACCACCUGGACUGAUACUGACACUGAGGUGCGAAAGCGUGGGGAGCAAACAGGAUUAGAUACCCUGGUAGUCCACGCCGUAAACGAUGUCAACUAGCCGUUGGGAGCCUUGAGCUCUUAGUGGCGCAGCUAACGCAUUAAGUUGACCGCCUGGGGAGUACGGCCGCAAGGUUAAAACUCAAAUGAAUUGACGGGGGCCCGCACAAGCGGUGGAGCAUGUGGUUUAUUUCGAAGCAACGCGAAGAACCUUACCAGGCCUUGACAUCCAAUGAACUUUCCAGAGAUGGAUUGGUGCCUUCGGGAACAUUGAGACAGGUGCUGCAUGGCUGUCGUCAGCUCGGGUCGGAGAUGUUGGGUUAAGUCCCGUAACGAG
rnacentral:rRNA from 1 species